ACAUUGGGACUGAGACACGGCCCAAACUCCUACGGGAGGCAGCAGUGGGGAAUAUUGGACAAUGGGCGCAAGCCUGAUCCAGCCAUGCCGCGUGAGUGAUGACGGCCUUAGGGUUGUAAAGCUCUUUCGCUCGGGACGAUAAUGACGGUACCGAGAUAAGAAGCCCCGGCUAACUUCGUGCCAGCAGCCGCGGUAAUACGAAGGGGGCUAGCGUUGUUCGGAAUUACUGGGCGUAAAGCGCGUGUAGGCGGGUCCUUAAGUCAGGGGUGAAAUGCCAAGGCUCAACCUUGGAACUGCCUUUGAUACUGGGGACCUUGAGUCCGGGAGAGGUGAGUGGAACUGCGAGUGUAGAGGUGAAAUUCGUAGAUAUUCGCAAGAACACCAGUGGCGAAGGCGGCUCACUGGCCCGGAACUGACGCUGAGACGCGAAAGCGUGGGGAGCAAACAGGAUUAGAUACCCUGGUAGUCCACGCUGUAAACGAUGGAUGCUAGCCGUUGGGGAGCUUGCUCUUCAGUGGCGCAGCUAACGCUUUAAGCAUCCCGCCUGGGGAGUACGGUCGCAAGAUUAAAACUCAAAGGAAUGA
rnacentral:rRNA from 1 species